CGGUUGAUCCUGCCGGACCCUACUGCUAUCGGGGUGGGACUAAAACUUGCAAGCUGAGCGCCUUCAAGCUCUUUGAAGACGCAGCACACGGCUCAGUAACAUGUGGCUAACCUACCCUUAGGACAGAGAUAACCCCGGGAAACUGGGGCUAAUCUCUGAUAGGCGUGGGUUCCUGGAAUGGACCCACGCCAAAAGGACGUCUGAUUCAUGCUAUUAGACGUCGCCUAAGGAUGGGGCCGCAGCCGAUCAGGUUGUUGGUGAGGUAACGGCUCACCAAGCCUAUAACCGGUACGGGCCGCGGGAGCGGUAGCCCGGAGAUGGACACUGAGAUAAGGGUCCAGGCCCUACGGGGCGCAGCAGUUACGAAAACUCCACAAUGCGCGAAAGCGUGAUGGGGCUACCCCGAGUGCCGUCCGCUGAGGACGGCUUUUCUCCAGUGUAAGGAGCUGGAGGAAUAAGGAGAGGGCAAGUCUGGUGUCAGCCGCCGCGGUAAUACCAGCUCUCCGAGUGGUAGGGACGCUUAUUGGGCUUAAAGCGUCCGUAGCCGGCCCAGCAAGUCCUCCGUUAAAUCCAGCGAUUCAAUCGUUGGACUGCGGGGGAUACUGCUGGGCUAGGGGGCGGGAGAGGCCGACGGUAUUCUCGGAGUAGGGGUGAAAUCCUAUAAUUCCGGGAGGACCACCAGUGGCGAAGGCUGUCGGCUAGAACGCGCCCGACGGUGAGGGACGAAAGCUGGGGGAGCGAACCGGAUUAGAUACCCGGGUAGUCCCAGCUGUAAACGAUGCGGGCUAGGUGUUAGGGUGGCUACGAGCCACUCUAGUGCCGCAGCGAAGGCAUUAAGCCCGCCGCCUGGGGAGUACGGCCGCAAGGCUGAAACUUAAAGGAAUUGGCGGGGGAGCAC
rnacentral:rRNA from 1 species